GACGAACGCUGGCGGCGUGCUUAACACAUGCAAGUCGAACGGAAAGGCCCUGCUUUUGUGGGGUGCUCGAGUGGCGAACGGGUGAGUAACACGUGAGUAACCUGCCCUUGACUUUGGGAUAACUUCAGGAAACUGGGGCUAAUACCGGAUAGGAGCUCUUGCUGCAUGGUGGGGGUUGGAAAGUUUCGGCGGUUGGGGAUGGACUCGCGGCUUAUCAGCUUGUUGGUGGGGUAGUGGCUUACCAAGGCUUUGACGGGUAGCCGGCCUGAGAGGGUGACCGGCCACAUUGGGACUGAGAUACGGCCCAGACUCCUACGGGAGGCAGCAGUGGGGAAUAUUGCACAAUGGGCGGAAGCCUGAUGCAGCAACGCCGCGUGCGGGAUGACGGCCGUCGGGUUGUAAACAGCUUUCGCCUGUGACGAAGCGUGAGUGACGGUAAUGGGUAAAGAAGCACCGGCUAACUACGUG
rnacentral:rRNA from 1 species